rnacentral:rRNA from 1 species
UGGGGAAUAUUGGGCAAUGGGCGAAAGCCUGACCCAGCAACGCCGCGUGGAGGAAGAAGGUUUUCGGAUCGUAAACUCCUGUCCUCAGGGAAGAGAAGGAGACGGUACCUGAGGAGGAAGCCCCGGCUAAUUACGUGCCAGCAGCCGCGGUAACACGUAAGUUGCGAGCGUUGUUCGGAAUUAUUGGGCGUAAAGGGUAUGUAGGCGGUUCUGCAAGUCUGGUGUGAAAUGCCGGGGCUCAACCCCGGAACUGCGUUGGAAACUGCAGGACUUGAAUCGCUGAGGGGCAGCCAGAAUUCCAGGUGUAGGGGUGAAAUCUGUAGAUAUCUGGAAGAAUACCAAUGGCGAAGGCAGGCUGCCAGCAGAUGAUUGACGCUGAGGUACGAAGGUGCGGGGAGCAAACAGGAUUAGAUACCCUGGUAGU